CCGGGGCCGAUCCAGUUCAGGGAGGUCAGAAAGGCAGCUCGGAACGCGCCCAACCGGGACUGGAAACGUGUAAAACCCUCGUUUCAGGCCGAUUCCGCCUCGUCCAGGCAGCUUGUCUUGGGGGCACCCUAACCUCUCCGAAUCUCAGUUUCCCCAUCUUGGGGAUCCCUGAGGCCGGAAGUUGUAGAAGCACCUAGGAAGCUACGGGGUCCGGCAUCGGGACCAGUUUCCGGCUUUGCGCUCCCCUGACUUGGCAGAAAGAAGAGCUGGAUGAUGACUAGAAGGUUUCGGAAGACAUCAUGGAAGACAUCUCAGGAGGGAAAAGUGAAUUAUCCACAAGGAUUCAGGGGCGGUGCUCCCCAUCAAAGGCUGGUGUCAGGAAAGACUCUGAGGUCAGAAUCCAGACACGGGAUUGAAGGUGCUGAUGAGCUCCCCCGCAGCACAGACUUUGGGGAGAAGAACGUGGAAUUCCCUAUCAGCAUCGCCAGGCCUUCAAAGUCCCCUGCUUGCCUGGUGCCCUGGGGGCCACUGCUGGGAUAUCACAAAGUAGACCUCAGGGCUUCGAGGCAGGAUUACAUCAGGGGAGGGAUGGACAGGGGGGAAGGAUCAAAGGCAUCCAGGGCCCUGGCUUCAUUGGCAGGACUCCCAGUGGGGCCCACAGGCCUGAAUUCCUGGCGGGACCCCCAGGAAACAUUCUGAUGGGCAGAUAGAGCCGUUCGUUCUAACCGCAGGCUGCCUCCUCUCUCCCCCUCUUCCUCGUCCUCUGGUUUGUUCCUUGAAAUCAGAAUUGGGGGUUGCUGAAUGCUUCACCCAACUCGGGACAGCAGGGUCUGCUCUUCUAAGGUAUCCCCAUUCAUUCUCGAGUCUCAGUUCCCUCGUGUGUGAAAUGGACAUUCUAAUAACAGGCGGGGAUCCCGAGUUGUCUGAAGACUCAGUGGAGUGAUGUUAAGUAUUCAGGAGGGAAAAAGAAGAAGGAGAAGGGGAAGAAGAAGAGGAAGAAGAAUAUGGUGAAAGGGAAUUCCCUGAUGGCCAGUGGUUAGGACUUCGUGCUUUCACUGCUGGGGCCCAGGUUCGAUCCCUAGUCCAGGAACUAAAAUCCCGCCAACCAAAACAGACAAACAGAACCCCAGUGUUUUGUUUGUUAAGUGUUCAGGAGGCAAAAGAUGUGUUGUUUUGGAGUGAGACACUCUUGGGAUUAAAUCAAGCUGUCUUUCCUAUAGUUGUUCAGUCACUAAGUCGUGUCCAAUUCUUUGCGACCCCAUGGGCUGCAGCACGCCAGACUUCCUUAU